UUUUUUUUUUUUAUUUUUUGUUUUGUUUUUUUUUUUUAAAUCUUUUUUCAUUCUUCCUCACAAUCUCCCUCCACUCAGACUCAGCUAGCAGAGGGUUUUACUUGUUUUUGCUGAAUUGAUUCAUUGUCACUCACUAACAAAGAAAUUCUAAGUCACCCACCGCCGCAAUCGAUGCCAUCCAUUUUCUCAAAGUGCAACCAUCAGUACCCAUCUCCCUCAGGUUAUAAUUAAAGUAAUGAUUCAAGAAGGUCAAAUGGAGAGGAACUCACCUCGAGUUUCACGUAAAGAUCGUACAAGGAAGAGCAGCAGGUAUACCGUUGAUGAAAGUGGAGGAGAUCUGAUAGAGUGUUCAGGCAAGUACUGUAGAUCAUGCACAGCUGGGUUGAUAGCUGACUGUGUAGCACUCUGUUGCUGCCCUUGUGCUUUGUUGAAUCUUUUAACUUUCGCUUUUUUUAAAGUUCCGUGGAUGGUGGGAAGGAAGUGUUUGGGAAGAGUGAAAAAGAAGAGAAGAAAGAGGAAAAUGAAAAGAAAAUGCAAGAAAAGAAGUGAAAAAGCUGAAGCAGAAGUUGAAGGUGACGCUAACGCUACUAGCAUUAGUAUUGGAGGGGAGAGAGAUGUAAAUUUGAAAAUUUGGGAACUUGUAAAUGGGUUUGGUGAAGAAGUUAGUGCAAGGUUUGAGGCUGACAGGGUUUGGUUAGAGUUGUAUGAGGAUGGACAUUUGGGCUUUGGUAGGGUUUCUUUUACUGGUAUUCAGUGAUAUACAGGGAACUGGUUUACUGUUGUUAUAUAUAAAUAUAUACAUUUGUUGUAUUAAAUUAUGUAUCUUAAUUAUUUUUACUCUUUAUUGGAUUUUGUGGUUGAAUUAACACCAAUUAUCAGCUUAGUACUCAAAAUUAAGCAUA
rnacentral:misc_RNA from 1 species